CAUAACUGGAGUACGGCAGAGGGGGAAGGAAUUCCGCGUGUACCAGUGAAAUGCGUAGAUAUGCGGAGGANCMCCGAUGGCGAAGGGCAAUCCCYUGGCCCUGUACUGACGCUCAUGCACGAAAAGCGUGGGGAGCMAACAGGAWUWAGAUACCCUGGUAGUYCACGCCYUAAACGAUGUCAACUGGUUGUUGGGUCUUCACUGACUCAGUAACGAAGCUAACGCGUGAAGUUGACCGCCUGGGGAGUACGGCCGCAAGGUUKGAAACUCAAAGGAAUUGACGGGGACCCGCACAAGCGGUGGAUGAUGUGGUUUAAUUCGAUGCAACGCGAAAAACCUUACCCACCUUUGACAUGGCAGGAAGUAUUCAGAGAUGGAUACGUGCCCGAAAGGGAACCUGCACACAGGUGCUGCAUGGCUGUCGUCAGCUCGUGUCGUGAGAUGUUGGGUUAAGUCCCGCAACGAGCGCAACCCUUGCCAUUAGUUGCUACGAAAGGGCACUCUAAUGGGACUGCCGGUGACAAACCGGAGGAAGGUGGGGAUGACGUCAAGUCCUCAUGGCCCUUAUAGGUGGGGCUACACACGUCAUACAAUGGCUGGUACAGAGGGUUGCCAACCCGCGAGGGGGAGCUAAUCCCAUAAAGCCAGUCGUAGUCCGGAUCGCAGUCUGCAACUCGACUGCGUGAAGUCGGAAUCGCUAGUAAUCGCGGAUCAGAAUGUCGCGGUGAAUACGUUCCCGGGUCUUGUACACACCGCCCGUCACACCAUGGGAGCGGGUUCUGCCAGAAGUAGUUAGCCUAACCGCAAGGAGGGCGAUUACCACGGCAGGGUUCGUGACUGGGGUGAAG
rnacentral:rRNA from 1 species